UAGCAGGACAACGGUAGAGUUGGGC
rnacentral:piRNA from 1 species